rnacentral:tRNA from 1 species
GUGGUUCAGGUAGCUCAGCUGGUUAGAGCAAAGGACUGAAAAUCCUUGUGUCAGUGGUUCGAAUCCACUUCUAAGCGG